GAAAGUUGUUAAAAGAUGAGACUAUGAGUCCAUACUAUCUCUUCAUCUAAUACUAUAUACCCAUUACACGUACUAAAUUUGGGACCAAUUUAUCGUUUGCAGUGGAAAUGGAUCAUUGGCUGGGUCCAUCUACAAUUCAACUACGCAAAUUUCAAUUCAAAAGUCAGCAACAUAAACCUAAUUUUGUCAGUGUUCAAAGCUGUGAUGGACCUUCACUCUCAAAUAGGAUAGCCGUGCAGCGAAUAUCAAAAUCAACUAAAUUUUAUUGGGAUAAGUUUGAAUUUAUAAAAAGGGUUUGGACUUGUUCAGGUAUGAAGGCGCUGCCAAGUUAGCCAUGCACAUAAAUGGAGGCUCUGUUUUUGAAUAUUCCUUUUUGCUUUUUUAACUCAUUCGCCGAGCACACCAAAAGCAAAACAAAUUUACACAGGUAGAGGAAAAUAACAAUGUCCUGUAGAAGGAAGGAAGACGCUUCCUGUCAUAGCGUGCAUGGACCGGAUAUAGCUAAUGUGGGGAAACUUAUCUUCAUAUUAAAAUCUCUUGUUUCUUUGCUGCUUCCCACUCCCUGUUUAACAAUGUCAGGUAAUUUACUAUGACACUCUUGUUAUUAUGCUCCUUGCUUAGCUGCAACGCUCAAAAUCAGGGAAAUAUAACCUUGGGAUCCAGCAUCACAGCAGGAUCCAAUUCCUCUUGGCUCUCAUCCUCUGCCGAUUUCGCCUUUGGGUUCUAUCCUCUCACAAAUGGCCUCUUCCUUGUUGGGAUAUGGUUUGCUAAUAUACCCAAUAAAACACUUGUUUGGUCAGCAAAUCGUGACAUCCCGCUGCCAACAGGAUCAAACGUCACCCUGACUGAGGAUGGCAGGUUUGUGUCUACGCACACCAAUGGAAGCAUAUUUCCUAUAUACGAUGGUGGUGCUGCCAGUUCAGGUUCCAUGCAAGACAACGGCGAUUUCGUCUUGAUGAAUUCGGGUUCACGGCCCAUUUGGCGGAGCUUCGAUAAUCCAACAGACACAAUUCUGCCAGGCCAAGAACUCAAGAAGAAACAAUCCUUGUUUUCCAACGCCAACGGAACAGUGGAUUUCUCAACCGGAAGAUUCAAGCUGGAGAUGCAGGAGGCCGAUGGAAAUCUGGUGCUUUCAGCUUUCCGAUUUGGUGGUCCAGCCUAUUGGUUCACGGGAACUUCGGGUCAAAACGCCAGUUUGGUCUUCAAUGAGAGCAGUGCGUUAAUGUAUAUCGUCAAUGAAACUGCGAUUAUUUACCAGAUGACGAAAACAAGCGAUUUGCCAACUUCAAUUAAUAGCUAUUACCACAGAGCAACGAUAGAUGAUGGUGGAAAUUUUCAGCAACAUAUCCAUCCCAAAGUUAAUGGAAGCCAGUGGAUAAGCGUGUGGAGAGCAAUCACUCAACCAUGCACUGUGAAUGGCAUAUGUGGUGUGUAUGGAUACUGCACUACCGAUAAUAAUCAAACACAAACAGUAACUUGUAGCUGCCUUGGAGGUUAUUCUUUAUUGGAUCCAAAUAUCCCCUCCAAAGGUUGCUUUCCUGACAUCCCACCGGAACAGUGCAGCAACAACACUCGAUCGCAGGUGACUUACACAGUAGAUCAGAUUGAAGACGCCGAUAUCCCAAAUGAUUUUACGGCAGAUUUGGCAGAGAUAAGAAAUAUAGUCCUGGCCAAUUGUACCAAGGCAGUUCAGGAUGAUUGCUACUGCAUGGCUGCUACAUUCAAUGUGAGCGGAUCUGUUUGUCGCAAGUUAAGGAUUCCUUUCUUUACUGCGAGGAAGAGUAACCCUGCUACUAUUGGGGUAGUAGCCCUCAUCAAGGUUCCUGUUGGGACUAAUAAUAUUCCAGAGGAUGGAGAAAAAGAUUCCCGUACUGUUCUUAUAGUGUGCCUUUCAGUAACCAGCGUGCUUGUCCUGUUUUUCGCAGCGUUUGCGCUCUAUUACCACCCUAUAACCAAAAGAUUCAAAUCCAGAAAACCUCCAUCAGUUCCAUACGCAUCGGAUUUUAACUUGAGAGCAUUUACAUUCCAGGAACUGUAUGAAGCAACAGAUGGGUUCAGUAACAGGAUAGGAAAAGGAUCUUUUGGCACUGUUUACAGUGGCACUCUUGGUUUCGAGGAUAAAGAAAUUGAUAUCGCAGUGAAGCAGUUGGACAACGUGAUCGAACGGGGUGAGAAGGAAUUUUUGACAGAAGUGAAGGUAAUUGGCCAAACCCAUCACAAGCAUCUGGUUAAGCUAGUGGGCUUCUGCAACGAGCGAAGCCACCGUCUUCUGGUCUAUGAGUUAAUGAAAAAUGGGCCACUAUCUGGUUUCCUAUUUCGAGAAGAGGAGAAACCAAGCUGGGAUCACAGGGCAACCAUAGUGCUACAAAUUGCGAGAGGCUUAUUAUAUUUGCACGAGGAAUGUGAUACCCAAAUCAUCCACUGUGACAUUAAGCCGCAGAAUGUGCUACUUGACGAACAUUACACGCCCAAAAUUGCAGACUUUGGCCUAGCAAAGCUGCUAAUGAAGGAUCAAACAAGAACAAGUACCGAUAUGAGGGGAACAAUGGGUUACAUGGCGCCAGAAUGGCUCAAGCAUGCUCCGAUAACAGCCAAAGUAGAUGUCUACAGUUUUGGAGUGAUGCUGCUGGAAAUAAUUUGCUGCAGAAGGCACAUAGAGCUGAAUAGAAUCGAGGAAGAGACGGAAGAGGAUGACCUAGUGUUAACAGAUUGGGUGCUGAAAUGUGUUAGAAUGGGGAGGCUAAAUUUGGUGGUUAAUAAUGAGCCUGAAGUACUGGAAGAUUUCAGAAGGUUUGAGAGACUGGCAAUGGUAGGAUUAUGGUGUGUUCAUCCUGACCCCAUCCUCCGACCAACCAUGAAGAAGGUAACACAGAUGUUGGAAGGCACAGCAGAAGUAGGAGUUCCACCACUUGCUCAUGAUCUGUCAUUGUCUUAAAAAUAAAUUUAAAAUAAAG
rnacentral:misc_RNA from 1 species